rnacentral:lncRNA from 1 species
GCUUGGGGAUGAUCCGGUUACUGGGAUGCCUUUGCUGCUGGGACGGUUCCGCUGGAACACGUGGAUGGCCGUUGGGGUGUUGCUUCAUGGAUGAAAGAAAGAGCCGGUUCGGGAGACGGGAAGCCAAGCGACUUGAAGACCUUUUGCGCUGCUGAAAUACUGCCGUUGGGAGGUUGAACGUUGCAAAUGUGCUUGGAAACGGAUGAGACGCGGCUUGGGGACGACGUGAGAUGCCAUGCGGACGGUUUCUGGAUGUUGGAUCGUUGAAGAGUUGGGCAGUUUGAUCAGACGAUUUUGGCUGGGAAG